UUUUAACCAUGGCAAACCCGGGGAAACCCGGUGACGCAAAGCUAUAGGGACUGUAAAAUGUCAGCCAGCUGCAAUC
rnacentral:ncRNA from 1 species